rnacentral:lncRNA from 1 species
UUAAUGAGUAAAAUAUAUGAAUAGGACAAACAAGGCCUAGAAAGGAUCCUUUAAAAUGCAUUUAUUUUAUAUUGCUUGUUUUUUGUUUUUUAAUACCACAGGGCUGGAAUCAAUUGAAAAUACAGUCUUGACUUCCUCAGUGCACAAGCCACUGGAAAUCUAUAAUAACCUCUGGGGAAAGAAAAUGGAAAUUUGCAGGUUCAACAACUUUGCACUGUGAUUUUAAAGCAGCAAACCCUUCCAGCUUUUCUGUUUGCCUCUCCCUGAGGAUGAGAUGAACUUUCCAAUUUUGAAUUCUGUAGCGUCUAAAGUCUUCGUGAGCUUAAAGAAAAAUCAUAUUGUCUACUGCAUUAGUGUCAGGACAUUCUUCUAUAAACUUCUCUCA